GUUGUACACUUGUAUUACUGUUGUUCUUGAACAUCUAUUUUUUUUUUAUAAUUGAGAUCUUUGUUAACAAACUUGUGUUCCCCCGCCUCUCCCUUCACUUUACAGCUAAACAUCCUUUCUUUGGUCAAAGGAGUGGAUGGUCAACUCUUACAUGUAAAAGAUGUUAAAAUAUUGGCUAGCAUUCUUUUGAAAAGGCGCCAUGAAUAUCAUAUUUAACAUGCAGAGUCUUGCUAAAAGUUUUCAAAAACAGAGGUUUAUAUCCUCUGCCUUCUACUAGAGACCUGUGCUGAAUUUGUAUCUUCUUCACCUGGUGAAUGUGAAGACCUACUAUUGGAGGUGCUGCAGCAGGGUGAGCCAGCCUCUAAAGAUCCAGUUGUUUUGUUGCCUUUCAUAACUGUCUUGAGGAGUCUCACUAACUCAUUUUUUGGAGCUAUGAGUAAUAAAAAUCAUGUUAU